AUUUAUUUUACGUAAGAAUCACCCUAGCCAUCUUCCCCCACACUCUGAUCCACAGUUAUUUGGGGAAGGAAAGUUUCUACUGAACAGGCUAGUCUCUUUUCUAAAACACAGAAGCCACGUUACUUUCCUGAUUUAAAAAACCAACAAGGGGGCGGGGGGAGGGGGUUGAAUAAAUAAUAAACAGCACGUCGGCCCCCGCGCGGCGCAAAACGCCUAUAAGUACAUCUUUUUAUUGCCCUUGUCUGCCAUUCAGAUUUGGGACAUAAUCACAUCAGCCUGCCUUUCUGAGAAUUCGUAGCUGUGUUUUUAAUCUAAUUCCGGGGACUGGAGAUAAAUCAUCGUGAAGGGUCCCGAUUUUCCGAGCCAAGAGCUUGCAGCGGCAGGAACAGCGAUGGCAUGCUAAGGGAACGGCUCUCCAGCCGCUUGCCAAGAAACAAGAGCUGCCAUGCCGCUCUCCCGGCCUGCAGGAGCCCUGAGUGCAACGAGACCGCCUUUUCCUUCACCUGGCCUGGAGGAAAAGUGACAACCUAUCUUACAUUCUGACACUGCACCCUCCGCCCACCGUGCCCCAAGAUGUACAAGCCCCUAAUGAACUAAAGGGUGGCCAGAGCCUGAGCAAAGAGCAGCCCGCAAGAAGAAGAGAUGCCAAGGGCGCCUGGGUGGCUCAGUCGGUUGAGCGUCCGACUU